rnacentral:rRNA from 1 species
GUAUAAAUGAGUUUGAUGAUGGCUCUGAAUGAACGCUGUCCAAAUGCUUGACACAUGCUAAUCGUACGUCUAAUUUAACAGGGGUAAAAAAUUACCCAGUAAUUUCAUUAGAAGUGGUGUACAGGUGAGUAAAAAAUAUUUUGGCUGCCUUAAAGUAAGGUAUAAAAUCCCUUAUAUAAUAAAGGAAGACAUCUUCCGCUUUAAGAUGACAAUCAAUAUUUCGGAUAGGUAGUAGUUAAGGUAACGGCUUAACUAGCCAGAAAUUCCGUAGUCGAGGCUGAGAGGUCGAUCGACCACAUUGGGUCUGAAAAAACCCCAAUACGUAUAGUACAGCAGUGGGGAAUAUUGGUCAAUAGCCUAACGGCUGAACCAGCAAUUUGGAGGAAUGGAAAGCUUCGGCUGACUAUGUUAGUAUCCAUUAAUACAAAAAAAAAUUAAUGGUUAAAAUGUUAAAAAGUAAAUAUUUUAAUAUUGCUAACGGUUUAGUGACUUUGUCACCUAAAGUUCUAGGUAGUAUACUGAUUAUGACAAUUUACUAUCUAUGUGUCUUGACCAAAUUACGUGCCAGCAGUCGCGGUAAUACGUAGAAGACUAGUGUUAUUCAUCUUUAUUAGGUUUAAAGGGUACCUAGACGGUUUAAUUAGUCCAAAGUAGGAUACAGUUAAACUAGAGUUAUAUAUAAGAAGGUGAGUAUUUGUGGAGUAGAGUUGAAAUUCUGUGAUACCAUGAGGACUGGUAAGGGCGAAAGCAACCUUUUAUCUAAUAACUGACGUUGAGGGACGAAGGCUCGGGUCGCGAAGAGGAUUAGAUACCCUAGUAGUCCAAGCAGAUAAUGAUGAAUGCCAUAGAUUAGAUAAUAUUUAGUUUAUAAAUGAAAGUGCAAGCAUUCCACCUCAAGAGUAAUGUGGCAACACAGGAACUGAAAUCAUUAGACCGUUUUUGAAACCAGUAGUGAAGUAUGUUAUUUAAUUCGAUAAUCCUCGAAAAACCUUACCACAAUUUGAAUAUUAUCAGGUAAAUUUUAUCUAGAUAUUACAAGUGUUGCAUGGCCGCCUUCAGUUAAUGUCGUGAGAUAUUGGUUAAUUCCAUUAAAUUAGCGGAAACCCUUGCUUUAUUUAUGUAAUUUGAAAAUAAAGCAGUUCGCCAUUACAUUGGUUAUGAUAACAGGGAUUAAGACAGGUCAUCAUGGCCUUAAUAUUGUGGGCUAUAGACGUGCCACAUAUUCCUAUACAAAGAGAUGCGAAAAUGUGAAUUUAAGCUAAUCUCAAAAAGUAGGAUAAAAUAUGGAUUGUAGUCUGAAAUUCGACUACAUGAAUAAGGAAUUACUAGUAAUCGUGAAUCACCACGUCACGGUGAAUCUCUUCUCAGAUAGGUACUAACCACUCGUCAGGCGCUGAAAGAAGUAUGUGCAAUAAGUUUGGCUAACUGUUAUUCUUUAUUUUAGACAAUUGGGUUUAACUAUUAUAACGGAAGGUUUUCGUAUGCGUGACUUUGAUUGGUGUUAAGUCGAAAUACGGUUCGUGUAGUGGAAAUUGCACGGGGUUGAUUAAUGUU